rnacentral:lncRNA from 1 species
AUCUUACAGGUCAUUUUAUUGUAUCUCCAACUCUCUCGACACACAAGGACACACAAGGAGAGUGUUUGGACAAGUGACGUGUAAAUUUGAAUUUACUAUGCCUGGCUGAAAAUUUUCCACUGUUAAUUUUCUGGUCAAAAACUCAGACUUCUGACUAGCUGAGUAUUUUUAGAAAAUGUCUGCUUGCCUCAGAAAAUGUUUUUGGUCAAAGCCUAGCAUUUCUUAAGUUUCAGCUGGAAGGCUUUCAUUUUUCUGACAGUCAUUGUGCAGAAAUAUUUGCUCCUCAAGUUAACAGUUCUUUUUCAACAACAAUUAGGAUUUUAUAUUGGAAACUUCCUGUUUUCCAAACAGUUUUGUAUUUUAGCAGCCCAUGCGCCUAGCCAUGGUUCAACAAAAGCUGUCUGUGUGCCAGGCCAAGAGGCAGAAAAGAAGAUCGAUAGCAGUGUGUUUGUGGCUGUCCAUUGUUUAGGACAGCAAGUGUUAAGUAAAGAUAGCUUUAAAACAAAAUAAAAAAAAGAACCAUUUUUUGAGAUAUGUUGUGAAAAACUUUUCCUAUUUCCUCAUCCCCAAACUUCAAGGUCUGAAAUUUUUUCAGGUAUUUCUCAACAGUUUUUUUCAUAUAUGAGUCUAUCACUUCACUGAGAUGAAGCAGUUAUUAAAAAGCUGUGCCAAGACAGUUAGGGCAGGAGGGUAAGUCCCAGCCCAGGACAUCUGACAUGAUGAUACUGCCAGCUACCUUCUGUUUUCUUCACUUCUUAUCUGUUUUUCUCUUCACAGUAAAUGAGGAGCCUGUCCCCUACAGAGCGACAAAUUUAGUGAGUAGCAAUAGGUUUCGAAGCAGUAACUCUGCUACUUGCAUUAGAACUGAUCUGCCUGUUAGACCAGGUUAAUGAAUGUUCCUGGUAACUCUGGAAAACCAUAAUGGAAGUAUCUGCAUACCACUGAGAUGAAGCAACUCCAAACCAUCCCCUGUGAAGAGAAUCUCAAUCCUUUGCUGCUGUCUGGUAGAAAUGAAUGGACAAAAAGAACUUGAACUAUGGGUUUUGAUAAUGAUAGAGGAGGAGCUUUCACCACUAUUCCAGUGUUGGACUGCAUCUGAUGCAGGCUCAUAGAGGCAGGGGAUUGUUAUUAAAGCUGUCUGAAUAAUCUGCAACAAGUAAUUGAAUGGAAGAGCUUAGUCUUUUUUUCUGUUUCUAAAUUAUUUAUGAGCCAGCCCGGAUAUUCUUGAAUGUACUUGUCUGAAGUAAUCCUGCCCAUAAUUUCUGUGAAUGGUCAUUUAUUUUUAGUUUGCCUAUGAGCAUUUAGAUAGUCAAAAUGUUAGUUGUUUGAACUGGACAAACAAUGACAGAUUUCUGUUCCAUGGCUACAUGAGUGUAACUGAGAUUUCCACUGAGAAUAUUCACAGUUACCAGUGAAUAUUCUGUAUUUCUAUGUUUUCUUUCUGUAAACACUUUUAGAAAUUAAUGUGAAUCUUUUUGGCAA